AUGAGACGUGCGCGACCUACGGGCUCAAUGUGGAGCGUGUCUUCCAGGACGGUAACUCGGGUGCUGGGUGGGAGUCACUGGCAGCCGCGGCCCCAGUGCUGGCGACAGGAAGGCUCCCAGUGAGCAAGGCUGUGUGUCUGGGGGGAGGUGCUAAGCCAGGCUUUUCCCUUCUCUCCAGUGGGUAUAAUUGACUCUGCUGUCCCCUGCAGUGGCCCAGAAGGUAGUGGCCUUGCGAAAGAAGCAGCAACUGGCCAUCGGGCCCUGCAAGUCACUGCCCAACUCGCCCAGCCACUCGGCAGUGUCCGCUGCCUCCAUCCCGGCCGUGCACAUCAACCAGGCCACGAAUGGCGGCGGCAGCGCCUUCAGCGACUACUCGUCCUCAGUCCCCUCCACCCCCAGCAUCAGCCAGCGGGAGCUGCGCAUCGAGACCAUCGCUGCCUCCUCCACCCCCACACCCAUCCGAAAGCAGUCCAAGCGGCGCUCCAACAUCUUCACGUCUCGGAAGGGUGCUGACCUGGACCGGGAGAAGAAGGCUGCCGAGUGCAAGGUGGACAGCAUCGGGAGCGGCCGCGCCAUCCC
rnacentral:sRNA from 1 species